AGAGUUUGAUCCUGGCUCAGGAUGAACGCUGGCGGCGUGCUUAACACAUGCAAGUCGAACGAUGAUCCCAGCUUGCUGGGGGAUUAGUGGCGAACGGGUGAGUAACACGUGAGUAACCUGCCCUUAACUCUGGGAUAAGCCUGGGAAACUGGGUCUAAUACCGGAUAUGACUCCUCAUCGCAUGGUGGGGGGUGGAAAGCUUUAUUGUGGUUUUGGAUGGACUCGCGGCCUAUCAGCUUGUUGGUGAGGUAAUGGCUCACCAAGGCGACGACGGGUAGCCGGCCUGAGAGGGUGACCGGCCACACUGGGACUGAGACACGGCCCAGACUCCUACGGGAGGCAGCAGUGGGGAAUAUUGCACAAUGGGCGAAAGCCUGAUGCAGCGACGCCGCGUGAGGGAUGACGGCCUUCGGGUUGUAAACCUCUUUCAGUAGGGAAGAAGCGAAAGUGACGGUACCUGCAGAAGAAGCGCCGGCUAACUACGUGCCAGCAGCCGCAGUAAUACGUAGGGCGCAAGCGUUAUCCGGAAUUAUUGGGCGUAAAGAGCUCGUAGGCGGUUUGUCGCGUCUGCCGUGAAAGUCCGGGGCUCAACUCCGGAUCUGCGGUGGGUACGGGCAGACUAGAGUGAUGUAGGGGAGACUGGAAUUCCUGGUGUAGCGGUGAAAUGCGCAGAUAUCAGGAGGAACACCGAUGGCGAAGGCAGGUCUCUGGGCAUUAACUGACGCUGAGGAGCGAAAGCAUGGGGAGCGAACAGGAUUAGAUACCCUGGUAGUCCAUGCCGUAAACGUUGGGCACUAGGUGUGGGGGACAUUCCACGUUUUCCGCGCCGUAGCUAACGCAUUAAGUGCCCCGCCUGGGGAGUACGGCCGCAAGGCUAAAACUCAAAGGAAUUGACGG
rnacentral:rRNA from 1 species